UCCAUUUAUUUGGGAAAUCUGUUCACUGCCCAUAAAGUAACUUUACUGUAAACACUCGGAUACUAGGAGAAUAACGACAGGCAUUAAAAUGAAAAGUCAGGCAGCAUUGACUUUGAACACAGAUUUUACACUUUGAACGUUAUCGUUCCUUUGUUUGAUGGUGGACGAAGUGUUCUCAUUGUACGAUUUGGCGAUCUCGUCGAUCUGAACUAUAUAUACACGAAGGUCUAUCGCAAGGCAUUGAAUAAACGCCGAAUGGUAAAGGAGAGACGUCAGAGAUUAAUGGCCAAGAAAUAUCUCGUUUUUCUGCCUUCUUACGUGUACGCAACUUAGAAUACAGUAACGUAAGUUUCCUUAGGGAAAAUGGUGAUACAGGAGACUUCAUCACUUUUGUAACGUAGACAUGUGUAGCAACUUAUGAGUAUUGCAUAGGGUAGAUCAGGUGCCUUAUGUUCAUAAAUACUGAUGUAAGUAGAAUUUCACUCUGGAGUCACCCAGAAUUCAUUAGUGUUACAGCCUUAAGCCUUAUAUACUGAAGAGGCUUCUGAAAUGUUAAGAAUUAGCCUGCAUAGGGAGACAACCCAUGGGAAAUCUAUGUUUUAUAAAUUAUGUGGAGGUACUUAGAGACAUUACUGUCGCCAACAAAUAAGCGAAAAGAGAUUUUUGCGCGUACUCCGAAUUUUUCGUUUCGUUCACGUACGAAAAGAAUUUGCACGCAGAUAAAUUUCGUGCAAAUGCGAGUGUCUGUGCUAACGAAUGACCUUGAACCAACUUAACCGACUUGUGUGGCUUCCACGAGGGAAGAAAUUCAACGGUUUCCAGGGACGAAUGCAACCGCAUACGCGACACAAGUGCACUCUAGCUGCAUUCCAUAUGUGCCUCGUUCCAACGAAUUGCGAUGUUUCCAAAUUGUUACAUCGAUUACAUAAUUUCACGAGCUUACAUAAUUUCCAGAAUAUCUUUAUUCUAGUUCUAGCAUGCGACGAAGGUUUUCGGCCAGCUCUUUUGAUAUUAUGAUAAUAAAGCGAAUACAUGACCUUAUAUAGGCAGGGAAUAUCCGCUAUCUGCACCAUCUGCGAACAUUUCAAACCUACACAUGGUACUUAUUUCAAGUACCAUGUGGGUGGACAGUUACACAAGCCGAAGGGUAUCAGCCUUAAUAGCAAAGUGUAUAGCUCAAUGACAGGCGCUAAUAUCUUGGUUCCUAAUUGCGCCAAUGUAUACCUUGUUCGUGCCCAAUCGCCCUUGGAGAACUAACUUCAAAGUCAAACGAGCAGAGUAUCAUCAUUACUUCGAUCAUUCUAUGAACACGUAGAGUCUCAACCACAUGUUGCAAAUUCCAACUGAUAGUCACCUCGGGUAUUUCUUUUUCAUUGAAGUGGCCUCUUUUCUCAAAAAUAAACCGGGACACUCGGCAGGCAGGGAAGCCUAGCUAUACACGUGUCGAUCCGACACGAGAGAGACGGAUAAACGGACGAGUACGAAACCGACAUGCCAGAAUACAAGUUGCAGAGGUGGCGGAUGUGGAAUCGUAUAAGCGAUGGCAGAAAGGGGUUGGAGUGGGAGGGGAGCUGGGUAUAUCGACCUUUGCGGCUCACAGUGAACGCGCGGAAAGCAGUUGUAUAAAAUUUCUAAUAGCAAUUGUCGACAUAUGUACGGUGCAUAAUCAGGAAACGGCAACCUAGGAAACUUUUUCGAAGGAAAUCUCUCGCGAAACAAGGACGAGUGCGCCUCUUUUUAAAUUUUAACGAGUUUCUGCAUAUUAAUAGAUCAUGUAAUUUCUCUGUGGACGCUUUUGGAAGUAGGCAAUUAAUAUUCAAAUCCCAAGCGAGUUUUUAUAUACUCUGUUCGCUACGACCUCUUUUCCGCUUACUUUUUGCAACCGAAAAUAAAAGUGUCGAGUACUGACCGAUGCAAAGCAUUUCUCAAGAUGCGAAAUUCAAACUGACAAAAAUGUGGUAAUAGAACGCGUUACUCGAAUUGUAUUGUAUUCUCGCGCGUAUAAUAUUUUUAGAACGACGUAUAUAAAACGAGGAGCAGUCAGGGACGUACAAAUACAAAGUGCAAUGUGCUCGGAGAUGGUCUGAAUGAACGGGUGUCGUUCGGUCUCCAAUAACCGAGCUAUCGGAAACAUAUGCGCGCUAUUUCGAUCCGUUAAAGUAAUUGUGAAAUGCUCGCUAUUGUUUCGAGCGUUAUCUUAUCUCCGUGUUUAUCGCGAUAUCAAAAAUUAUUCUUUUUCUAAGUUGGACCAACUUUCCUUGUUUACUCAAGAUAACAUUCCGUACUACCGAGUCCUUGCAAUUAGUGAAAUCGAGUUUAUCAACAAGACGUCUAUCGCAUUCCAAAGUAUUAAAUCUCAGAUAAUUCGUGCACCGCUUAGAAAGUCAUUUUGGCGCAAAGCUGUCGGUCGAAUUUCCGCUAUAGACAGCUCGAGAAACAAGAGUCGCUAAUUACUCCCCGCGCUAAACGUACUCUUCUUUCACUGUACUUUUCUCGUCUUCCCGUCGCGACACACUCGUUUUCGCCAGCUUUGCGGUUUGGUUAAAUUAAUUGGCAGUCAAGUUGCCGCACUCUGCUCUGAUAAUAAUACGAAAAUCAAUUUCCGCAUGCAUGUCCUGAAUAUCUAAGUUUCAAGACGGUACUUAAAAUAUGCACUUAACAAUUUUAGACUUUCAUAUUUUCCGUAAAGAAGCCAGAUGCGCUCUUGACUAUCUAGAAAGGAUUAUGUGCUUUCACUGAAGCAUAGGGAAAAUGACACAGGAUGGUUGGGUUUCUCCAAGGUGAAUUGCGAUAUAAGGAAAGGAGUUCUAGUGGUAACGACUGAUAUAUCUGGAGUGCCAGAACGAAUCGAUGGAACCCUUGCGUCACCAUUUCUCUGAUGGAGAAACUUAUCGUUCUCGGUGACCAUUAUUUAGGUAGAUAAGCAGAGGUAAAGCAUUAAUAUAUGAACAGGUUGCUCGAAGUAUAUUAUUCUUGUGGCUUAAUUCGUUUUGUCCUGAUUUCGUACUGCGCUGGCCAGACGGUACAAAUUAACCUUUGAAAAAUAUCAGAAUGGUAGCAAACCGGUAAAGGCCAAGGGGACGAAGGCGACGAAGGACAAAAGCGAGCAAAGGAAGGAUCGGCGGGAGCGGGCCUGCGCCGUCUGACCGACACGUAUAAAUAAAGAGUCGGUUUAGCUGCGACGUUGCCGGAUCUAGGUAAUAUUGAUCCACUCGAACUCGGCAUGGUCGGCAGCCGGGGGUCACACGGGAAAACCCGGCAACGUUGCUCUGUUCCCAGCUGAUCGAGCUUUACUCGUGUCCUGCUCGACGCUCGACCGUGUCUCUUCGUUUCUUCGCCUUCUUUCUUCGUCCCGUUCACGCGUUCCCUCUCUUUUCGCUGUAACUAGCAACCGCCACUUAUCGUUCUGCCGGUAACCUCAGGCCUUUCCUUUCUUCUUAUAUCGCCCGCUCUCGCCGCCAUGCCGCUCCGUUUUAACUCGAACGCCACGCGAAUUCUUUCUUCCAUUCGGUUCGGCAUAUACAGCACAGUCGCGAACGACAUUAUGCAACGAAGAAAGGCUCCGACAUUCAAUGUAUACGUAGACGUACGGAUAUGAAAGCGUCGAAUACGUGUACAUGUGAUGGUAUUCGUCGAGUAAACAAAAGAUUUAAUAAUUAAUCGGUUUAGGUACGACGCCAAAGUCUGUCACCAGUCUGACCUCCAUCGAAUUGGACUUCGAUUUUCGUAAUUACGACGUAUGAUUUUAUGCCAAAUUCCGUAUUCACGAGCUUUGAUAGCGACGGAACAUGCUAUCCUUUAAAAUUAGCUACCCUUCUUUCUUUCGUCUACUACCCGUCCGACGUUUUUGACCCUCGUGAAAACCGCCUGCCAACGGUGUUACGUAACCGUAGCAUCAAAUUCGCCGCGUAAGGAAUCUAUGGCGUAAUUCGAUGAUUUAAAAAUGCGAUGAAAGUUUAAAAACUCCUCGUAAAAACCAAGAGUAAUUUUUAUUCUAGAUUUAUUGUCGUUAGUGUUCUUCGAUACAGAGUUCUACGCAUUUCUUAAUUCACGAUUAACUCGGUUUCUAAAAGCUAAUGCUAUCAACAUUCUUCGAACAUUUACUUUGAAAGGAUUCCUUCCUUUGUUCUGUUUAUCGAUGCCAUUACGUAACACCUGUUAGCCAAUAAUUCCGUCUUUAUUUCUCAUUCAUGCUCUCUUUCGUUUAAAUUAUUGAUGUUGAACGACUAUCGGAAAAGAUAUCUCGAUUUUCAAUUGAUUGGUUAUCUAUUUCAUUUUUAUACGUAAUUGCCUUGAGCUUUGGUGCGAAACUUUCUUCGUUUUACAAAGUAGACUGAUAUCUGCGCGUGAAUUUCUACUCGUGGAGAUCUCCAUACUUGGUAUCGCGAUUUCUACACGCGAUUAUCUCUAUACGUAACAAUUUAACGCCUGGAGAUCUUUAUACGUGCUGAUCUAACACAUGGAAAUUUAUGCGUAUAGCAAACUAACUCGUGGAAGUUUAUAUGACAAUCUAACGUAUGGACAACGUAUGACGAUCUAACAGAAGAAGAUGUAUUAGGUGUGUCACCCUCUGCGUGUGGCGUAGCAACUUUUAAAGCAGAAUUUCCAUGAAAUAAUUCUGUUUCAGAACCUGUACAAAUACACUCAAAAAAUGUGGCGAAUCGAUGGAGACGGGAAAUGGUCCUUCGGUUACAAUUUCCCUUAACCAUGACCGACAAGACGAGAAGAAACCUUCAGCCGAAGUUUAGCAAUCAAGGUCAAAUUCAAUCUCGUUACGACCAUGCACGCAAAUCAAGUUUCGAAACAAAUUACGAAAACGAUUUACAGGGCUACGCUCGAAUUGCACAAUCCACGUUAAUUGCGAUUCGAACACAAAGUAUAAUUCAAUCAAUUGUCCGACAAACUGUGACCCGAUAAAGCAAAGUUAAAAAGAGAACUUUAUAUCGUUAUGUUCAAAAUAAUUUUCUUUAUCUCAAAUUUAUCUGCUACAACUUUCUGUACAAAGUUUCAAACAAGGUUUGUUAAAAACGCACAAUGUCUAAAGUCCUGAGAUACAUUUGAAUAUUACAGGUGAAGUCUUCUGAAUAGCUUUAAUAUUUGAUGAAAGAUGACAAGCUGAAAUUCAGUAUUAAAAAAAAAAACAGGAAAGGGAAGAAUACGUAAACUAACUUAUCAAGCAUAUCUGCGUAACUGGAGAAUAUAGAACGGUAGUUUAUGUUACACUACACAGUUAUACCGUUCACGCGAAUACAGUUACAAUAUAUAACACCUAACUUUUAAACACGUUAUUAAUACCGUUCUCGCGUUGACGUUUGUUUACCUUAAAUUACCGUAGACAUUAGACGUUAGACUUUAUUAAUAAGCCUGGCCAAAGAUCGGUCUCUGGCUGCUAAAUUAUACCAUUCUUUUGACACGUUUUGCUUGUCAUCUGCACGUGAUUAAGAAAACUGGCCUUUAUAGAUUAUGCUCCGUUCAAAACUGAAUAUUAGUUACCACUAAGCCAAAGUCUACUUGGCAAUUGCACAUGCAGACAGUUUGAACAAGUAAAUUAUAGCUGCACCAGGUUUCAUUAGGAUAAUGAAAUUCGUGUUUUUCUUAGAAAUACGCAGGCUCGACUCUUCUAUAAUUAACGACAGUAAAUGAAGGCACACUUUCCUUCGAACCUUUUACUAAUAACGUGAUCAAUUUUGAAAGUGUUCGAAAAAUUGCGUCGAAUUUAAGGAAUCAUAGUUCAGGUAAGAAUUCUAUUGAAUAUAAUUCAUGCUAGCAAUAAACUUUCUCACAUGUGAAUCACAGUUUUACACAGUUCGAAAGAAUUGUCGUUUCGCUUAGGUAUACGUCAUCAAAUUCAAACCGAGUGUCAGGCAAAUAUUAUGAUUAUUCGCUAAAAUUCAAGGUUGCGGAAAACAUAGUUUGAUAUGAGGGGGAAUGCUAGCUCGGUAAAGAUAUGUAAGUCACCCCAGUUUUAUAAAUAAAGCACCGUAAUUUAUAAAAUGAUAGCCAUUUUUAAUACGCAUUUACCGAUUUCUCGACGCAACGUUGGUCGUUAAUAAAAUUAAUAUUUUUUUACAAAUAUUAACGAGUCUAUCGCGUGUGUCGUGUCGUUAGGUUACUUUCCUAUCGGACUAGUAUAUCGGCGAUCGUAUCCAUUACAAACAAAUUAUCGGUUUCAGUCGAACGAUAAUUAGCACACGGACACGCUUUCGAACGUCAUUCGCCAUCGUAAAAACUGCAACGUAGCCAAUGUUUCUUUUACAUGAAAAUUUGGCAAUCAAUCUUGCACCGUUAUUUGAUUAACGAAUAUUGGCAAAUUUGUGCACAGCUAGUGGAAGCAGUCGCUGCAGGCCGCUGUACGAUGCAUAUUUAUGAAAUAAAUUCAACUCCGAUAUCUGGUAGUCGAUACAUCGUUUUUAUUUCUGCAUUCGCUAUUAUAAUAUACUUUGACUUUUGCAUUUUUCAUUUCGUGUAACUGGUUAAAAAUUAUAUGAAUUUCUCUGCUCCUACUUUACACAAGUUUUGAAAUUUUCGGAGAUAAUAUUAUAAAAUAUAAGGCACUGAAAUUAUGCCCUCAUGUCCAGCACGUUUCGCUUUCAUAGCACAAAUAGACCCUAAAAAAUGUGUAACAUCUCGGACCCCUCGAAGGCUAACUCUAUCAGUGUUAACAAAGGAAUCUUGAUGCGCCUCGACGCGUCAAACACCGAGCUGUCUAAAGCCAAGAGCAUCUUACGAUGCCACAAUAAUCUGGGGCAAGCUUAUCGCAGGUGCACAGCGUUUCUGAUUUCGUUACGAAAAAAAAAUUGGAAAGGUUUCAUCGAGCGAAAGAUACCGGUGCCUCUGUUUACCGAGCCAGAAAGAUAGCUGAUAAAAAUCGACUAAUUAGCAGGUAUAAUAAAAGAAGAAGCAGUAAGAACGUAGAGAAGGUCCACGCAUGCGCGAAUAGCAGAGCGCGUGCAUACAUAUCGUUUUGCAAAGAUUUGCAAAGAAGAAUAAAGCAAUAGAAGGAUUUAUACCGGGUCUCCGAUCAUAUGACUCGGAAAGUGCGUUCUAUCAAAAGCUGCGAUUUUCGAUGUUUCGUAGAUGACCCGUAAAUAUGAUCGGCAAGUACAAGUAAAGUUGUGUCGUAUCGAAUUAUUGCGACAGGAUAUCUCGCAGGAAUCCUGGGCUCGGUUAACGGUGGGCAAAAGAAUCGGAGCAGAGGGCUGUGCCUGAUCUCUCGUGGUUGUUCCCCUCUCGGGGCGGUUCGCCUAGCGAGGUGCAGAGAGAUCGGUUUUGCGUCGGCGCGGUUCCCGAGCUCGCAACGUUGCCGGCUUUUCGAGUCGACGGCCACCACGAGGAGAAGCCAACUCGGCUCGAGCGGAUCUCGCAGUUAGUUUUUGUCUUUGACACGCGACGGACGACGUUGUCGCGUCGCGAUGCACGAGUGUGUCAUGUGACACGCGAAAUAGGAGGAGAGAGUAACACCGUCUGUGUCGUUGCGGCACGAUUGACAGGGCCGCGGCCGUUUACAAAAGGAGAGACGACUCGCGCGAAAACGAAAGGGGAAAUAAACGCGGGACUGAGUGUGUGCGUGCGUGCAUGGGUGAUUGGAUGCGUGCGUGUCGUUUGUAUGCGUUACAUUCAUUUCUAUGCGUCUGGCGCGCGCGAGUGCUCGUACCGGUUGUUACCGUGCGCGGCGGUCGUUCUAUGCUGGCGGAUUUCCUACCCGUCCAAUUUCGGGACUCUGUAAGUCGUUUCGUCGGAGCGCGCACAAUUAUGUUACCGGCUCGACACGGCAAUAGCAG